ACUCAAAUGAAUAGACGGGGACCCGCACAAGCGGUGGAGCAUGUGGUUUAAUUCGACGAUAAACGAGGAACCUCACCAAGGCUUGACAUCUAGCUGCAGUCUUCUGGAAACAGAAGGUCCUUCGAGGGUGCUAGACAGAUGCUGCAUGGUUGUCGUCAGCUCGUGUCGUGAGAUGUACCGUUAAGUCGGAAAACGAGCGCAACCCCUACCCUAUGUUUUAUAUGUCAUAGGGAACUGCCCGCUUUAAGUGGGAGGAAGGUGGGGAUGACGUCAAAUCAGCAUGGUUCUUACGCCUUGGGCUACACACGUGCUACAAUGGGAUGUACAAAGGGACGCCAAACCGUAAGGUGGAGCAAACCCCCCAAAACAUCCCCCAGUUCGGAUUGAGGUCUGAAAUUCGACCUCAUGAAGCCGGAAUCGCUAGUAAACGCGUAUCAGACAUGGCGCGUUGAAUACGUUCUCGGGUCUUGCACACACCGCCCGU
rnacentral:rRNA from 1 species